CCUACGGGUGGCAGCAGUGGGGAAUAUUGCACAAUGGGGGAAACCCUGCUGCAGCGACGCCGCGUGAGUGAAGAAGUAUUUCGGUAUGUAAAGCUCUGUCAGCAGGGAAGAAAAUGACGGUACCUGACCACGAAGCCCCGGCUAACUACGUGCCAGCAGCCGCGGUAAUACGUAGGGGGCAAGCGUUAUCCGGAUUUACUGGGUGUAAAGGGAGCGUAGACGGCAGGGCAAGUCUGGAGUGAAAGGCGGGGGCUCAACCCCCGGACUGCUCUGGAAACUGGCAGGCUGGAGUGCAGGAGAGGUAAGUGGAAUUCCUAGUGUAGCGGUGAAAUGCGUAGAUAGUAGGAGGAACACCAGUGGCGAAGGCGGCUUACUGGACUGUAACUGACGUUGAGGCUCGAAAGCGUGGGGAGCAAACAGGAUUAGAUACCCUUGUAGUC
rnacentral:rRNA from 1 species